rnacentral:rRNA from 1 species
GAAAUGUGAUCUGUUAUCUUUGCGACAGCAAAUAAAAAAGGUCGGUGGGGGCGUCCGUGCACGUAAUCAUACCCAAAUACUUGACGUGACUAAUAUAUUCUCGCUCCUUCUGUUCCCUGGACUUCACUUCCCUGGCUUAUCAUACCGAGA